rnacentral:rRNA from 1 species
GGCUUACACAUGCAGUCGAGGGGCAGCAUUUCAGUUUGCUUGCAAACUGGAGAUGGCGACCGGCGCACGGGCUGAGUAACACGCUAUCCAACCUGCCGAUAACUCGGGGAUAGCCUUUCGAAAGAAAGAUUAAUACCCGAUGGNAUAAUCAGACCGCAUGGUCUUAUUAUUAAAGAAUUUCGGUUAUCGAUGGGGAUGCGUUCCAUUAGGCAGUUGGUGAGGUAACGGCUCACCAAACCUUCGAUGGAUAGGGGUUCUGAGAGGAAGGUCCCCCACAUUGGAACUGAGACACGGUCCAAACUCNUACGGGAGGCAGCAGUGAGGAAUAUUGGUCAAUGGGCGCAGGCCUGAACCAGCCAAGUAGCGUGAAGGAUGACUGCCCUAUGGGUUGUAAACUUCUUUUAUAUGGGAAUAAAGUUUUCCACGUGUGGAAUUUUGUAUGUACCAUAUGAAUAAGGAUCGGCUAACUCCGUGCCAGCAGCCGCGGUAAUACGGAGGAUCCGAGCGUUAUCCGGAUUUAUUGGGUUUAAAGGGAGCGUAGGUGGACAGUUAAGUCAGUUGUGAAAGUUUGCGGCUCAACCGUAAAAUUGCAGUUGAUACUGGCUGUCUUGAGUACAGUAGAGGUUGGGCGGAAUUCGUGGUGUAGCGGUGAAAUGCUUAGAUAUCACGAAGAACUCCGAUUGCGAAGGCAGCUCACUGGACUGCAACUGACACUGAUGCUCGAAAAGUGUGGGUAUCAAACAGGAUUAGAUACCCUGGUAGUCCACACAGUAAACGAUGAAUACUCGCUGUUUGCGAUAUACAGUAAGCGGCCAAGCGAAAGCAUUAAGUAUUCCACCUGGGGAGUACGCCGGCAACGGUGAAACUCAAAGGAAUUGACGGGGGCCCGCACAAGCGGAGGAACAUGUGGUUUAAUUCGAUGAUACGCGAGGAACCUUACCCGGGCUUAAAUUGCAUUUGAAUANUNUGGAAACAGNUUAGCCGCAAGGCAAAUGUGAAGGUGCUGCAUGGUUGUCGUCAGCUCGUGCCGUGAGGUGUCGGCUUAAGUGCCAUAACGAGCGCAACCCUUAUCUUUAGUUACUAACAGGUCAUGCUGAGGACUCUAGAGAGACUGCCGUCGUAAGAUGUGAGGAAGGUGGGGAUGACGUCAAAUCAGCACGGCCCUUACGUCCGGGGCUACACACGUGUUACAAUGGGGGGUACAGAAGGCAGCUACCUGGUGACAGGAUGCUAAUCCCAAAAGCCUCUCUCAGUUCGGAUCGAAGUCUGCAACCCGACUUCGUGAAGCUGGAUUCGCUAGUAAUCGCGCAUCAGCCAUGGCGCGGUGAAUACGUUCCCGGGCCUUGUACACACCGCCCGUCAAGCCAUGAAAGCCGGGGGUACCUGAAGUACGUAACCGCAAGGAGCUCCUAGGAA